rnacentral:misc_RNA from 1 species
AACGCAUCUUGCGCCCCGUGGUAUUCCGCGGGGCAUGCCUGUUUGAGUGUCACGUUAACCCUCACUCGUGUGGUGUCAAAGCCGCCCGAAUGGACUUGGACGCUGCCGUAGUUGGCUCGUCUUGAAAUGAAUUAGCUGUGCGCCCAUUAGCGUGCUCGGUGCUGCCGUGAUAAUUUCCUCGGCUCGCCUCAUGCCGCUUCCAGUGACGCUGCUUCCAACGGUCCCUCGUGGACAACUGACCUAAAGCUUUGGCCUCAAAUCAGGUAGGACUACCCGCUGAACUUAA